UACAGAGGUCUCAAGCGUUGUUCGGAAUUACUGGGCGUAAAGCGCGUGUAGGCGGUGCGGUAAGUCGGGUGUGAAAGCCCUGGGCUCAACCCAGGAAGUGCAUUCGAUACUACCGUACUAGAGUCCCGGAGAGGUUGGUGGAACUCUCGGUGUAGAGGUGAAAUUCGUAGAUAUCGAGAAGAACACCGGUGGCGAAGGCGGCCAACUGGACGGUGACUGACGCUGAGACGCGAAAGCGUGGGGAGCAAACAGGG
rnacentral:rRNA from 1 species